rnacentral:misc_RNA from 1 species
UUAAGUUCAGCGGGUAGUCCUACCUGAUUUGAGGUCAGAUGACGUGAUCGUUGUCCGCGAGGACGAUUGUAAGCCACCACUAUGGUCUACGACGACGACGAACAGUUUAUUAUCACACCGUUGUCGUUAGAACCGAGGUGGAACAGCUAAUGCAUUUCGAGACGAGCCGUCAAAUACAGACGGCAGCGUCCAAAUCCAAC